rnacentral:rRNA from 1 species
CCUACGGGAGGCAGCAGUGGGGAAUUGUUCGCAAUGGGCGCAAGCCUGACGACGCAACGCCGCGUGGAGGAUGAAGACCUUCGGGUCGUAAACUCCUUUCGAUCGAGACGAAUGUUUUCCGGGUGAACAAUCCGGAAAAGUGACGGUACCGAGAGAAGAAGCCCCGGCUAACUCUGUGCCAGCAGCCGCGGUAAUACAGGGGGGGCAAGCGUUGUUCGGAAUUACUGGGCGUAAAGGGCUUGUAGGUGGCCAACUAAGUCAGACGUGAAAUCCCUCAGCUUAACUGGGGAACUGCGUCUGAUACUGGAUGGCUUGAGUUUGGGAGAGGGAUGCGGAAUUCCAGGUGUAGCGGUGAAAUGCGUAGAUAUCUGGAGGAACACCGGUGGCGAAGGCGGCAUCCUGGACCAACACUGACACUGAGGAGCGAAAGCCAGGGGAGCAAACGGGAUUAGAUACCCCGGUAGUCCUGGCCCUAAACGAUGAAUGCUUGGUGUGGCGGGUAUCGAUCCCUGCCGUGCCGAAGCUAACGCAUUAAGCAUCGCCGUCGGAGGUACGGUCGCGAGCGUGAACGUACGAAGAAGUUAGACGGCGUGAGACGUGCCGACGGACGACGACGACGGGAGGAGG